CGAAUACCGGAGAAUGUUAUCACGGGAGACACACGGCGGGUGCUAACGUCCGUCGUGAAGAGGGAAACAACCCAGACCGCCAGCUAAGGUCCCAAAGUCAUGGUUAAGUGGGAAACGAUGUGGGAAGGCCCAGACAGCCAGGAUGUUGGCUUAGAAGCAGCCAUCAUUUAAAGAAAGCGUAAUAGCUCACUGGUCGAGUCGGCCUGCGCGGAAGAUGUAACGGGGCUAAACCAUGCACCGAAGCUGCGGCAGCGACGCUUAUGCGUUGUUGGGUAGGGGAGCGUUCUGUAAGCCUGUGAAGGUGUGCUGUGAGGCAUGCUGGAGGUAUCAGAAGUGCGAAUGCUGACAUAAGUAACGAUAAAGCGGGUGAAAAGCCCGCUCGCCGGAAGACCAAGGGUUCCUGUCCAACGUUAAUCGGGGCAGGGUGAGUCGACCCCUAAGGCGAGGCCGAAAGGCGUAGUCGAUGGGAAACAGGUUAAUAUUCCUGUACUUGGUGUUACUGCGAAGGGGGGACGGAGAAGGCUAUGUUGGCCGGGCGACGGUUGUCCCGGUUUAAGCGUGUAGGCUGGUUUUCCAGGCAAAUCCGGAAAAUCAAGGCUGAGGCGUGAUGACGAGGCACUACGGUGCUGAAGUAACAAA
rnacentral:rRNA from 1 species